UACUGUAGGUGGAGCGGUCGCUGGAAGGGGCCAAUUGCACAAUCUUAGAGAUCCAACGGAGACUGAGAGCAAACUUUGAACACAAAAGUAGGGCAAGGAAUCAGUUCUGGUCAAGUUAAUGAAUCUAAAUCUAUAGAUUUUGUUUUACUAUUUUAGCAUAAUCUAACAAUCAAGUAUCAUUGAUCUACCACGCAGUGACCAUAAUGUAAAAUAAUCAAUAUUGUGCAGAAGAUACCUGCUGGAGUCGUUGCUGUCGUUGGGUGGAGUCAAUUGGACAAUUGAGGAUAUCCAACAGAGAUUUGGCGACAUCCAAGGGGCGCCCAUAUGAAGGUGAACAUGAAGUGAAACUUGGAAGCGCUUGCAAGUCUGACGGAAUUGGAAAUUCAGAUUGGUUUCAGGUGUGCGUGAUGGAAUUAUGUUCUAAAAAUUGUGUUACAUUACAUGUGUGCGCCCAUCCAGUCUCUGAUCUAGCUUGUUGUUUGUAUGUGUGUAUUCGUAUUCUAGAAAAAAAAAACUAAUCAGCAAGAAACUUGCCAUCGGGCAUGUGCUAACAAAAGGAAAAAUUGAAUAGGUUAGCUUGAUCAAUCCGGCGUCCACAACUUGGUGAUUGCUUUCCGGCCAGAUGCGCUGGAUUGCUAUGGCUGGAUGCUAAUAAUAAUAUAUGUGUGUUAGUUACUAUACUGUAUUACUGUACAAAGUAAUCAAGCAAUCAACCUCUUGUACUCCCUCCGGUCCUUUUUACUCUGCACAUUGGUUUUGCCGAAAGUCAAACUUUACUAAGUUUGACCAAAUUUAUAUUAAAAAUUAUCC
rnacentral:lncRNA from 1 species